UUUCAUAGUGUUGCACGUUUUGAUUUCUCCUGGAGAGGCUGCGUGAGCCUCGCCUCAGCAAUAGAUGCAUAAUAUACAGUCUAUGUGCUGGGGCUCAGCCCCGGACGGCUCCGGCCCAAUUUAAACCCUGUGUAUGGGGAACAGGAGUUUAGGGUCAGAUACAUACAAACACGUGUUUUGUAUUUCCAUCUGUAUUCUCAAGGCUUUGCUAAGGUAAAGAGUGUUUGCAUUCCUCAGGAUUGUGGUUUUAGAAAGCAUGAGCCCCUCCUCAGACAGCUGGGUUCAAUAUAAGCACAGUUGGAUUGUGGGUAAAGGGAUUCACAUGCAGUAUGUUUCCCAUAUAGUUCAGUAACAUCAGUGAUUUUCAUCCAUUAAUUCCAUAGUUUCACACUGACCCAAAAUUGUUAACUGAUGCAUCCUUUUUAGUGUGAUACAUUUUUUAACAUUUAUUUUAACAAAUCUGGUUCUAGACUUCUAUCACUCAGUUUGCUGUUCUAUUUUGUUUUGGCUAUAAUUGUACCCAUAAUUUGAUGUUGUUCCCUAGUGUCAUGGUUUAAUUAGGUCAGCAUAUUAGUUAAUACACAUUAACAGUAUUAUUACUAUUAUGCCAGAAAAUAUGAAUAACUCUGUGAUCUGUGUCCUUCAGACUAAAAUGGUUCGUGCUCAAUAUGCUUUGAUCAUCUCAUAUGCACAAUUCAGGGUUCCCAGUCAUGGAAAUCUGGGAAUAUCACAGAAGUGUAAAAUUGUGGCUUUCCAGCCUGGAGCAUUCACAGAAAUUAAUAAAAAGUAAUGAAAAUGUCCAUUCUCUAUACAUUUUUAGAUUUGCUCAGCCCUAAAAUAUUUCAGUGACUGGAAAUUGCUCUUCAUGAGCUAAAAUCCUUAAAAAAAAACAUGGUAAUGGAA